UCCAGGGCAGAAGGCCCGGCCCGGCCGUGCUCGAUUCUUUUUUUUUUCUUUUCGAAAGACCAUGCUCAAUUGAGUGAAAAAAGAGCAUGCUCAAUUUUAUUUUUAAGCACGCGGGUCCUGAGGAUACUCUCUGCGUCUCAAAAGGUAUAUAAUUUUAGUUUUAUCGUUUUUUUCCUAGAUUUAAUUAUCUUUAUAGAAGCAAUAUAUUGUUGUUAUCAUCUAUAUAUGGAUCCUGUCAGUUAAAUACACUAGCUACCUGCUGUGCUCAUCUUGCUCACCGACGUCGCCACCGCCUACAUCCCCGGACCCUGCUUAGGGGAGCAUUUCGUUUUCGUUCUCAGAAUAUUUAACUGGCGGGAAUUCGCUUCAGGGAUCCCCUGACCCAAACACUGGACAGCAGGCGAAGCACAGUGGUUGGGAUUUUUUUUUCAUUUAUAUAUAUAUAUUUUAAAAAUAUAUGCUGUUUUUGGAAAUUUUCAGAAAUGGGUGCCUGCGGUCCCCCUCACCCCCUGUCGCCCCUUGCAUGGGGCGACCAGGUCAUGUCGCCCAUCCAGGGGGCGAUAAGGAUCUGUUUGUAAUAAAAAUAUUUAUGUCCAGACCCUUGAGAACCUAUUUGUAAUAAAAAUAUUUACGUCCAGACCCGGGGGGCUGGUCGCCUGAGCAACGGGCGACAGGGGGCCAGUCGCCACCCCCCAACGUGCGACAUGGUCCCCCUCCCCUAUAUAAGCCUAGCAGCCAUCCAAAAAUCAUCAUUUGGAGCAAAAAAAAUCCAGGAAAAAAGGGGUGAGGAGAAGGGAAGCGGCGAAACCCUGCCGGAUUGCGCAUUUGUGAUCUGCAGGUAACCACAUUUAAGUUUUGUAUGAUUUCAUUGCUAUUGUACAAUAAUUUUAUUUAAUUAGUGCUAUAGUAGAACCAUAUGUUUCAUUCCAUUGAUAUUUUGUUAAUAAUUUCUUUAUUUACUUUAGUUAAUGUAGUUUUAUAUAUAGUUCGCAAAUAGAUUUAAAUAGUUAGCAAAUUUGGUAAUGAAAUUCCUUUUGAUAUGAAGUUUACGUAGCAAAUUUAGCUUUUCAUACGUGCAUUAUGGAACUGUAGGAUGCCUAGGCGGGGUAAAUCCAGUGAACCUAAGGUGCGGGUGGGUACUGCUUACAUCCCUUUACCGCUGCCUAGUGGAGUUCCUGUGCCAAUGUGCUUCUGCGGCAAUCCUUGUAAGGUAGCCGAGUCUGAUGAACAGGACACGUACAAGCAGAGGUACUGGAUGUGCGCAAAUUAUACCUUCGACUCACCACCUCGUAUGAUCCGCAUUGGGUUGAUGACCCCUCAACCGCUCUGUGAUUUUAAGCAGUGGAUCGACACUGAGAUCAAGUAGGAGGACAAGCGGUACAUGGAGUUGUGUAAGAAGUGGGAAGCGGAGCGGCUGGAGAGGUUGGAGAAGAGACGCCAGGAGAAGACAGCAGAAAAGAAGAGAAAAGAAGAAAUGGAAAGAAGGCAUGCUGUGGAGUGUAGGGAGGACAGGGAAGUGGAAGGUUGAGCAUGCUCGCCGUGCUAAAGCAGCUUUGGAGGACAAUCCAGAUGCAUUGAGGAAGGGAAAGUGGCCUCGUUGCACGCAGUAGUAAGCAGGAUUUGCUUGUUGUAUGGUUUAAUCAUGUGAGCUAUUGUUAGAAUUUGGUAGUUUGUUUGGACUUUUAAUUAUGUGUGUUCUUAUGUAAUGUACUGUGAAUUAUGUCGUCAUUUGUUGCAAGUUCGAAUCUAGCUGGACUUUUAAUUA